CCUACGGGUGGCAGCAGUGGGGAAUAUUGCACAAUGGGGGAAACCCUGAUGCAGCGACGCCGCGUGAGUGAAGAAGUAAUUCGUUAUGUAAAGCUCUAUCAUCAGGGAAGAAAAUGACGGUACCUGAGUAAGAAGCCCCGGCUAACUACGUGCCAGCAGCCGCGGUAAUACGUAGGGGGCAAGCGUUAUCCGGAUUUACUGGGUGUAAAGGGAGCGUAGACGGCAGGUCAAGUCUGGAGUGAAAGGCGGGGGCUCAACCCCCGGACUGCUCUGGAAACUGUACGGCUGGAGUGCAGGAGAGGCAGGGGGAAUUCCGAGGGUAGCGGGGAAAUGCGUAGAU
rnacentral:rRNA from 1 species